ACCGACUCAACUUUAAUGAUAGCAAUUUUCAAAGUAUCUUUUAAUUUUUUGCUACCCAUUUCUAAAGGAGUUUCAUCUUCUCUUUUCUCUCAAUCUGGCUGCCUUGGCCGAAGUUUCUCCAGUGCAUGGCAAACGUAAUCUGGAACUCCUCCCAAUAGCAAACGAAAUUGCUAUAUCGGAGUGAAUGACCGUCUUAGAUGCUAAGAUCUCGCCCCCACAUCUCGUACAAUCAAACCCGAAGCAUAUUUGAAGGAUUGCUGGUCAAAGGCUGCAUCAAAAUAGAUUGUUACCCUUGUUCUUCGAUUAACAUGUUGAAGGCCUUUGCCAGCCUGAAAGAUUAGCCAAAGCCCGCAAUAGAAAAGUCAACAUUGUUCAUUAAUCCUCGACUAAAAGACCUAGGUAAGCUAUUCCCACAUACUGUGAAUAUCGUUGUUAAGAACCUAGGAAAGAUAUAAGUAAAUCCAAACAUCCAUUAUAGGAUACUGUCGAAAAAUAUGGUUACUAUCUUCCUUAUAUUGACGACACCGAGGGCAUUGAGCAUCCAUCGCCACUUUCUUAUGCUUAAGGUUGACAAGAGUAGGAAUAAAAUUCCAGGAGAUUCUCCAUACUGCUAUUGUAACUUUUGAGGGAUGUAUAAAUUCCAAAGUUUCCUGUAGAAAUUUUUUGUUUCGGCUUGUAUAAUAUAAUUACUAGGACCAAGUUAGUCUCCUGUAAUAGUUUAUAGGCACUUCUGAGAGUUCGCCUCUCCACACUUGAAAAUUGUCAUAUGUUAUCUCCGCCAGAGGAAUCUGCAUGAUUUUUUUUGCAAUAUCUGUAUGAAAGGUAUUCAUAAUAACAUCUGUUUUCCAGGUCUUGUCAAUAGCCUCAUUUAAAUCCGAUACUAACUUGAUGUUUUCAUUGUUGUCUUGGUUCUGUAAUCUGUCUGCCUCUUCUUCCGAAAUUCAUAAAUCACCCCAAACGAAAAUUUGAUCUCCCGUUCCAACCCUCCAGCAUAGACCUUUUUCCAGAAGUCCUCUUGUUGCCCAUACAUUUUUCCAGAGGUAGUCUAUGACGAAGGUGCGCUCAAUGAUAUGACACGUGGAGGUGUUGCAGAAGUAGGUAUAACAAGCCGCAGAGGGACCAUGAACCGCUUAAAUUGUCUAGUGAAAUUCUAUCUGACGCCUGCAGAUUUGUUGCAAGGCUUAUUUCCUUUUAUUCAAUAUUUGUAAGACAAUUCUGCUAUCAUAUCAUCAGAUACAGUGAGCAAGUAUUGAGAAUGAAUGCAUUAGAAAAAGAAGAAAUCAACCAAGGAUCUUAAUAACAAA